rnacentral:rRNA from 1 species
AUUGAACGCUGGCGGCAGGCCUAACACAUGCAAGUCGAGCGAGCGGCGGACGGGUGAGUAAUGUCUGGGAAACUGCCUGAUGGAGGGGGAUAACUACUGGAAACGGUAGCUAAUACCGCAUACCAUCAGAUGUGCCCAGAUGGGAUUAGCUAGACGGUGGGGUAACGCCUAACAUAGGCGACGAUCCCUAGCUGGUCUGAGAGGAUGACCAGCCACACUGGAACUGAGACACGGUCCAGACUCCUACGUGAGGCAGCAGUGGGGAAUAUUGCACAAUGGGCGCAAGCCUGAUGCAGCCAUGCCGCGGGUGUGAAGAAGGCCUUCGGGUUGUAAAGCACUGUCGGCGGGGAGGCGUUACCCGCAGAAGAAGCACCGGCUAACUCCGUGCCAGCAGCCGCGGUAAUUC